GUGCUAGCAAGUGACAAAUCAGAAACAACUGACUGACCCUCUGGGCUGUCCUAAGCCAAGCUUAAGCUACCAUUGGUACAUGUGAGACACAGGAAGUGAUGUAAAGAACUGCCUAUAUAUUUUGUGUCACUUCCUGUGAGCACUCUCUGGGCAGCAUUGGGAGCUCUCGGUGGUGUUGGGAGCUCUGGGCGGUGUUUUGGAGUGCUUGCGGCAUUUGGCUCUGUAGCAUGGUUUAGGUGAGGCAUCUUCCCUGAGCGACCUUGGUGAGUGGAAGGAUAGGUGGUGCCAGUAAGUGGCAGAAAAGAAAGGGCUGGAAAAGCACUGGAGAGUACGCUGGAAAAACAGGGAGGGGCUGGAGGUCAAUCAUCCAGAGAUACUCCAUUUGGAAACAUUCCUGAAAAGGUACUUCUUAGAAUAAUAAAAUACAGUGACUGACUGAGAAAGAGGACUCAAUUGAUGGAAGCUGAAUGGAGGAGGGAAAAGGUUAGUCAUGAAUAAUAACUCAUCUUUUUCCAUGGAAAUAGAUCAAUUUCCAAAGCAAUCAGAA
rnacentral:lncRNA from 1 species